UUGGGGCCCCUCCAAUGGACGUUUAAGAGGCUGAAACAAUUAACUCUUCAACUUCCCUGUUAGCAACUUAAAUGUCCGCUGGGGGGGAUGUCUAUAAUAUUAUACACGUCGGGGCCCCUUCAACGGACGUUUAAGAGGCUGAAACAAUUAACUCUUCAACUACCCUGUCAGCAACUUAAACGUCCAUUGUGGGGGGGACGUCUAAAAUAUUAUACACGUCAGGGCCCCUCCAACGGACGUUUAAAACCCCCCGCGAAUAUCAAUUUUGAAAUCCAAAACACGUCAUAUUAGUUAUGGCUCUGACAUCUAUAAUAUUAUAAACGUCGGGGUCCCCCAGUAUCGGACGUCUAGUGCCAUUUAUACUAAAACGGCGAACCCGCGAGGAGUUAUGCUCACUAUUCAUCGUCUUCCCCGCGAUUUCACUCUGCGGCAUUGCAUUUCUAGGUGUGUUUUCUCUCUUUUGGACCGUUUAAAUUUACUUUCAAUCCGAUUAAAUUGUUCUGUGAUGAAAUAUCUUUGAUUUGAAUCGAUUAAAAAUCGUUUUCAGUGCAUUUUGUUGCAGUUUCUUGCGUGUUCUUAGGCGGUGUUUUUGACUGUUUUUGGCCUACGUUUUAGGUCGUGCCCUCCUCGAUUUCCCUCCGUUUCAUUUGGAAUUUGCUUUUCAGUAUGUCGGCCUCAGACUCAGGAUCGGGACAGACCAGACGUGGUCGAGGCGUCACACGAUUGACAGAUGUGACAUCUGGACGCGUGAAUGGGCAGCGGAGAGAUGUUGACAUCGACCCUAGAUCAAGUCAUCCAUCAGGGCCAAAUGCUGAUAGGUUUAGGAGUUAUCUGGGUAAGUUAGCAAAAAGCCAUGUCUCUAUCCUUCAUGCAACUUGGGAUGACGUCCCAGCGGUCAACAAGAACCUCUUAUGGCAAGAUAUUCAGGUAUGUUUACUUAAAAGAUUUUUGAUAUACUUAUUUCUUUCAUGUUUUCUUAUCAAUAACAUGUUUUUUUGUUUUAAACAACAACAUUAUGAUAUUCCAAACACAAUACAAAUUAGAAAGAAAGUGUUAUUGCAUAUAGCGAUAAGAUUGAGGGAUUUCAAGACAAGGCUGACACGACUAUAUGUCUUUGGAGACAAGCAACAUGAAAAUCCAUGUCAGCAAUAUACCUUCACAGAGGAGGACUGGAUACAAUUUCUUGCAUCUAGAGAGUCUAACGAAUGGAAGGUAAAAGGUUAGCCGCCCAAGAAAUACAAAGGCUAAACGAUGCACCACACUUGUUAUCACGAGGUGGUUAUGCAAAACUGGAAAAGAAAAUUAGAAAGUCUAGAGUGGAUGCCUUGGGACUUGAGUCGUCGAACCUUGCACCUGCACCUGCUAGGUACGAGCUGUGGAAGGCUGCUCGGACUAAAUCUGAUGGGAACAUGACAUCUUCCUCAGCUGCCUUGAUCUCACAAAGAAUUGAUGAGUUGGUUGAGCAGCAGACUCAGGGAACAUUUGCUGGCCAAGGUAGGGACGACAUUCUAACGACGGCCAUUGGAAAGCCCGAGCACCCAGGAUGUGUACGUGGAGUUCCUGGGGCGAUUAGUCUUCAUGACUACUUUGACCCUACACAGAAAACCACAACAUCAAUGAGUCAGGAGACACUAAGGCAGAUGAAUCUUCAGUGGGAGGAAAGACUCAACCAAAGUAUGAGAUCAAUUGAGCAACGAUUCAUGGAGUAGCUACAAUAACAAAAAGAAAUACAAAGAACGCUUGAAGAGAAGCUGCAUUCCAUGACGCAAGGCAACAUGGGGACCGCUGAAACUCCCACACCACCUCGUGUCAGCACUAGAGGAUUAUGCUCUGCCGUAGAACCUACUCAGUAUAACGGUCAAUAUGAGCUGUUGAUUGAUGGAGAUCCCCCACGCAUUGUGGCUGUCGGACGAGUUCUUGAGGGAGGGCAGACUAUUCAUGGUGUUCCCAUAUUACCCCACCACGUGCGUGUGACGAUUGACGAGAUUCGGGAUCCCCAGGCUCAGGUGCCUGUACCCACUCCAGAAAUUAAUUUUGUGGGGGAGGCUAUAGGAUCAUUUAUAGCCUGGCCUAGAGCAUUGAUCAUGUCACACAUUGCUACUCCAUAGCCGAUUCAUGAUACAAUUAUACAUGAAGAUGAUGACAUGGCUGAAGCGGAGGAUGAUCCUCUAUCAAAGCUAAUGACAAGAUUACCCAGGUUGAAGAAAGCACCAUUAGAACUAUACUGGGAUUUGAGACUAUUUGGUCUUCCCCCCCUUGUACCAGUAUAUAUCACAUUGCCUGAUGCAUUGGAGGUGAUUGGGGGAGACAGGAUGUUGAAUAUUUCAAUCAUUCAACUGUGGUGCAUGUACAUGGACACAAUCGUUGUAGACCAAGGUCGGUCUUCCAUGUACGAAUUUGUUGAACCUCAGACCAUUCAACCUUCUUGUAACACACUUGAAAACAGACAACAUUAUUUGCAAACAUGGAUGGAUGAGUCAAAAAGAGACGUAUACCUUGUGCCAUACAUUGAUGGGUCGCACUGGCAGCUGAUGGUCAUCAUUCCCAAACAAUGUAAAAUUAUAUGGUUUUGUUCGUUGCAUAGGAAGAUGAAAA